GUCAACUAACCCCCACUUGAAGAAGUGGUAGCUUGGAGAAGAAAUUCUUUGAAGCCCUAGUUGACUAGCCUAAGUAGCGAAAAAAAUACUACGUUGGAUUGCAUGUAGAAACCCAAGAAUGAUGCUCUAGUUUUUGGCUCUUUC
rnacentral:sRNA from 20 species